UAUCUUCUAGAAAACAUUCCUGUUGGAGAAAUUAUUCCUAAAUGUGGCUCUCCUAAACAAAGUUAAUUUGGAUGUCAGUCACUGCUGUGCACUUUAUUGACAGAAUUGAGUGCCUUAGCUCAAGCUUUGCAGUGCUCAGCACCACAAGCCUGAAAGAUCUCUUGGAUUCCUGCCACUAAUGCUUAUGAAGCCUGGGACAGACUAGAAUCCUUUUUCUUCUUUUGCCUCUGCUGUAUUCCAUGAAGAUCUUUGAAUGUCUUUCUCCAGAGAAGCCAUCAAAAUUAAAAGACUGUCAUACUGUCCUGUAAGUGGAUGGAUAAGGAGAAAGACAGAAGGAAGAUUUUUUGUUUGGAUUUCUUAACAAGUAAAAGAAGAAUCCAACUACAGAAUCAACUAAUAGAUAUACUUUCAAAUUAUUUGGAGGAGUUCUGAUAAAGGUGAUACAUCAGAGCAAAAUAAAUGAUAAUAAUAAUAAUAAUAAAAGUUUGAUUGUUACUUGAAACUUCUGAAGGCUACUCAACAUGAGAAACAGGUGUCUGGUUGCAUAAAUACCACAUAGAAGCUAAAAAUUUUUGUGAGAAAUAAUGGAAUGAAAAAACGUGAUUCUCUUCUUCACUCACAAUACUGCACCACAUGAGCUCCCAAAUCCCAAAAUCCAACCAAUUUUUACUGUCACUGAUAUGAACUACCAAGUAAGAAAAUAAUGGAAAUCAAGAGUUACUCCCAAAUAAAUAUGAGGAAAUGCAUGAUGAUAAAUACAAUGUGGACUUAGUUUAAUCCACACAGAUAAGACCAUCAUUUCCCUCAUUUUCUUACACUCUUAUUUUUCAAGUUCCAUAUUCUUUAUUUUGCCUUCAAUUUCCUUCUGACAUUGAGUGAAUGAACAUUUAUGAAGAAUGUUUAGCUGUAUUUCAAGUUAAGCCUCAAUUUUUCAGAUCACACCAGUAUUCUCAUGUGAAACAUCCUUCAGAUACUUUUUUCUCCUAAAAAGAAGAAUGAGGCUUUGGCUCACAAACUAAAGCUGUGUUUUGAUUGUCCCUAGCUUCUUUUUUAAAAGAAGAUAAAAGCAGAAUAUGAACUGAGCAG
ensembl:lncRNA